GAUCCAUCGGAGAGCUUGCUCGAAGAUGGUGAGAGUGGCGCACGGGUGCGUAACGCGUGAGCAACCUACCUCUAUCAGGGGGAUAGCCUCUCGAAAGAGAGAUUAACACCGCAUAAUAUCAACAGUUCGCAUGUUCGGUUGAUUAAAUAUUUAUAGGAUAGAGAUGGGCUCGCGUGACAUUAGCUAGUUGGUAGGGUAACGGCUUACCAAGGCGACGAUGUCUAGGGGCUCUGAGAGGAGAAUCCCCCACACUGGUACUGAGACACGGACCAGACUCCUACGGGAGGCAGCAGUAAGGAAUAUUGGUCAAUGGGCGGAAGCCUGAACCAGCCAUGCCGCGUGCAGGAUGACUGCCCUAUGGGUUGUAAACUGCUUUUGUCCAGGAAUAAACCUAAAUACGUGUAUUUAGCUGAAUGUACUGGAAGAAUAAGGAUCGGCUAACUCCGUGCCAGCAGCCGCGGUAAUACGGAGGAUCCGAGCGUUAUCCGGAUUUAUUGGGUUUAAAGGGUGCGUAGGCGGCCUAUUAAGUCAGGGGUGAAAUACGGUGGCUCAACCAUCGCAGUGCCUUUGAUACUGAUGGGCUUGAAUCCAUUUGAAGUGGGCGGAAUAAGACAAGUAGCGGUGAAAUGCAUAGAUAUGUCUUAGAACUCCGAUUGCGAAGGC
rnacentral:rRNA from 1 species